AAGACGGAAAGACCCCAUGGAGCUUUACUCCAGUCUGGUACUGGGACUCGGUAUUGCAUGUACAGGAUAGGUGGGAGGCUAGGAGAUGGUAACGCCAGUUGCCAUGGAGCCGCUGUUGGGAUACCACCCUUGCAGUAUUGGGUUUCUAACCAGCCGCCGUGACCCGGCGGUGGGACAAUGCCAGACGGGGAGUUUGACUGGGGCGGUCGCCUCCGAAAGGGUAUCGGAGGCGCUCAAAGGUUCCCUCAGAAUGGUUGGAAACCAUUCGAAGAGUGCAAAGGCAGAAGGGAGCUUGACUGCGACACCGACGGGUGGAGCAGGUACGAAAGUAGG
rnacentral:rRNA from 17 species